GAUAUACUCCCUCCGUUCCAAAUUACUUGUCGUGGUUUUAGUUCAAAUUUGAACUAAAACCACGACAAGUAAUUUGGAACGGAGGGAGUACAUG
rnacentral:pre_miRNA from 1 species